AAGACUAUAGACCUGCGGAGUACCUGCGAGGGAUCAUUAUUGAAUUAUGUUUCUAAAUGGGUUGUAGCUGGCUCGUCAGAGCAUGUGCACGCCUGUUUGGACUUCAUUUUCAUCCACCUGUGCACCUAUUGUAGUCUUUGGUUGGGUAUCAAGGAAGUGGUCAGCCUAUCAGCACUUGCUGGAUGUGAGGACUUGCAGUGUGAAAGCUUUGCUGUCCUUUACUUGAUCAUGGAGUUGUUU
rnacentral:misc_RNA from 1 species